GUACUUAUUGGAUUUUCAUCAACAUAUUAUCAACUUUUAUUCACAAAAGUGACAUUUGAUGAUGUGGAACUACUGAUGUUGACCAGAACGGAACUCCAACGCGUGCAAUUUUUCUUCGUUAAGUUUGUAGCAAGUAAGGUUCUUAAGAAACAUUUUUGACAAAGUACAGUUCUGAUGAUGGGUUUCAUGAAGAAUCGAGGGAAUUCCUAAAAUCUUAUAGGCAUACAUGUAAUAAUUUCUGGGAUUUUAUUUACAUAUCAAGCAUUUUUAUUAAAAAAUUGUCAUUUGACUAAGUGUAACAGCUGAUGUUGACCAGAAUGGAACUCGCCAACUCGCGCGCGAUUUGUUUUAUUAGCUAAGUUUGUAGCAAGUAAGUUUUAAGUAUUAAGGUUUUUAGGAACAUUUGUGACAAGGUAAAGGUCUGAUGAUGGGUCCCAUGAAGAAUCGAGGGAAUUUCUUAAAUGCUAUAGGCAUAUAUGUAGUACUUAUUGGAUUUUCAUCAACAUAUUAUCAACUUUUAUUCACAAAAGUGACAUUUGAUGAUGUGGAACUACUGAUGUUGACCAGAACGGAACUCCAACGCGUGCAAUUUUUCUUCGUUAAGUUUGUAGCAAGUAAGGUUCUUAAGAAACAUUUUAGACAAAGUACAGUUCUGAUGAUGGGUUUCAUGAAGAAUCGAGGGAAUUCCUAAAAUCUUAUAGGCAUACAUGAAAUAAUUUCUGGGAUUUUAUUUACAUAUCAAGCAUUUUUAUUAAAAAAUUAUCAUUUGACUAAGUGUAACAGCUGAUGUUGACCAGAAUGGAACUCGCCAACUCGCGCGCGAUUUGUUUUAUUAGUUAAGUUUGUAGCAAGUAAGUUUUAAGUUUUAAGGUUUUAAGGAACAUUUGUGUCAAGGUAAAGGUCUGAAGAUGGGUCCCAUGAAGAAUCGAGGGAAUUUCUUAAAUGUUAUAGGUAUAUAUAUAGUACUUAUUGGAUUUUCAUCAACAUAUUAUCAAGUUUUAUUCACAAAAGUGACAUUUGAUGAUGUGGAACUACUGAUGUUGACCAAAACGGAACUCCAACGCGCGCAAUUUUUCUUCGUUGUUAAGUUUGUAGCGAGUAAGAUUCUCAAGAAACAUUUUUGUCGAAGUACAGUUCUGAUGAUGUGUUUCAUGAGAAAGCGAGGGAACUCCUCAUUCUCCUCAAUUCUUAUAGGCAUAUAGUCAUUUUGGAUUUUCAUCAAUAUCUUUAGCUUUUUUUAUUCACAUUAGUGGCAUUUGAUGAAGUGGAACUAGUGAUGUUGACUAAAACGGAACUCUUCAACGCGCGAGAUAUUUUCAUUUUUUGUUUGUUGUGAUAUAAGAGGCAAACUAGCAGACGAAUCAACUGAUGGUAAGCAAUUACCGCUGGCCAUGGACAUCUGUUACACCAUAGGGAUUGUAAGUGCGGUGCCGGCAUUUAAGAUAGGAAUACGCUAUUUCCUUAAAGUUUUAAAGAUCGUAUUGGGCCGGAAAUACCGCAUGCGACAGAUCAUUUCAUAGUUUAGCUGUAUGAGGCAGAAAGUUUCUAGAGAAAUGCACAGUUGAGGAUUGCCAACCAUCUAAGUGGUGAAGAUAUAAAUGAUGUAGCGUAAAGUGGUGACGGAAAGAGGCGGCAGAGAUUAAUCCGAACAAUUCCUCGGAACUUUUAAGUUUGUAGAAAGUAAGGUUCUUAAGAAAUAUCUGUGCUAGACACCAGUGUCUAGUGUCUAGGUCUGAUGAUGGACAGCUCAAACCUUAUAGAAAUACAUAUAGUUUUUUUUUCAUCAAUAUCUCUAGGUGUUUUAUUUAAAAAAAGUUAUAUUUGAUCAAGUGGAACUGCUGAUGUUGUCCAGAACGGAACUUUUCAACGCACGCGUUUUGUAUUCUUUAUUAAGCUUGUAGCGAGUAACGUUCUUAAGGUGUAUUUAUAUCAAUGUUCAGUUCUCAUGAUGGGUUUCAUAAAUAAUCGAGGGAAUUCCUGACAUCUUAUAAUUUCUGGAUUUUUAUUUACAUAUCAAGCAUUUUUAUUAAAAAGUGACAUUUGACGAAACGCAACAGCUGAUGCUGGCCAAAAUGGAACUCGCCAAUUCGCGCGCGAUAUGUUUUAUUUGUUUAUUUUGUAGCAAGUAAAGUUCUUGAAGAUAUUUGUGUCAUAAGGUCUAGUUCUGAUGAUGGGUUCCAUGAGAAAUCGAAGAAAUUCCUCAAAUCUUAUAGGCAUACAAUACAUACAGUAAUGUUUGGAUUCUCGUCAACAUAUCAAGCAUUUUUAUUUAAACAAGUUAGUGAUAUUGACCAGAACGGAACUCUUCAACGCGCGCGAUUCUUAUUCUUUGUUAAGUUUGUAGCAAGCUAGGUUCUUAGGAAACAUUUGUGUCAAGGUCCAGUUAUGAUGAUGGAUUCAAUGAGGAAUUGAGGAUUUUAAAUCGAUUUGAAUUCUCAAUUGGGAGGAAUUGAGGAUUUUCGUCAACAUAUCAAGUUUUUUUUAUUUGAACAAGUGACAUUUGAUGAAGUGAAACUGCUGAUAUUGAGCAAAAUGGAUUUCUUCAACGACAAGUAUUUUACCUUAGGCGGUUUUUUUUAUUUAUUUCGUUUAUAGCAUGUAAGGCUUUUAAGGAACAUUUGUGUCAAGGUCCAGUUCUGAUGAUAGGUUCUACGAGAAACCGAAGGAGCUUCUCAUAUUGUAUAGGAUAGGCAUACAUAUAGUCAUUUUAGGAUUUUCAUCAAUAUUACAAGCAUUUUUACUCAAUAAAGUGACAUUUGAUGAAGUAGAAAUUGCUGAUGAAGAACGGAACACCUCAACGACUUCCAGAUUCUUUAUUUUUAUUACUCUUCUUUCUUUUUCAUUAUUCUUAGAACAGGUAUUUCUACUAAGUGAACUGAACUGCUACUAUAGUAGGUAGGUAGGUUAAAUAGGUUAAAACUGUAAGGAUUAUUAUGUAUAAGUAGUCUUUCUUUUAAUUAAACAUAGGUAAGUAAUUCUAUUUAAGUAUAAGUAUCUUUAAAAAAAACAUCAAUCGACUCUUAUCUGUCACUAGUUCUAGUUUCAGAGUAUAAAAUCCGGGUACAGAGCCACGGCUAGCCGGGUAGCCAGACAGUUCGAAUACGGACAAGUUAUUGUUAAUAAAAAAUCUUAUCGUCUUGCAAAAGUGAGGUAGAUGUGAGCGUAAAGGAAACACAGCAGUUGCAUAUACUACAAAAAGUUAUUGUCAUAAAUGUAUAGGUUUCGAAUACAUGAAUAUAAAGUUAAAAUGCUGGUAAAAGUAUUAGUUUUUAUCAUUAACCAUUUUAUAUCCCAACAAAACUAAAUGCUUACCUAAUGUAGGUUACGUUAGGUAAUAAAUAAAUAAAUAUGUAGGGACAAUCUUACACAGAUUGGCCCCAAACUAAUCAAAGCUUGUACUAUGGGUACUAGGCGACGUUAAACAUACUUAUUUAGAUAAAUAUAUAUUUACGAAUAUACAUAGAAAACACGCAUGCCUUAGGAACAAAUAUCUGUGUUCAUCACACAAAGAAAUGCCCUUACGCGAUUCAAACUCGGGACCAUCGGCUUCAUAGGCAGGGUCACUACCCACUAGGCCAAACCGGUAGGCAAAAGGUAAAGAUAAUUAGGUAAAGACAAUGAAUAAUUAAACGUAUUAUAAAUUGACACCAAUAUCCAUCAAAUAGUAUAACUAGGUAUGCUAAGAGCGUGCUUCAGGCCAUUACGUCGCACCUUUAGAAUGAAACUAAUUUGACUCAAAAAGUACGACUACUUUAUAUAUGUAGUUUGGUAGAACAGUAAGAACUCACUAUAUGUGUCUCUUUUUCAUGCGGUGAAAUCCCCCCACCCGGAAAGGGUAGCGACGCCCAUUUUAUCGACUCUCGAGUCGACUCCAAUCUGAUACUAAUAGUAAAAACCAUACGGCAAUAAUGAGGAUGCAUCGACAUAAGAAGAAUCGAACAUGGGCAAGAUAAAGUUCAAGAAAAAAGCAAAUAUAAUGUGUACUUGUGUGUAGUCAAAGAAAGUUGAAAAAUAAAGCAUAAUUAAUGGCCAUAGAAUACAGAACCAAUACACGAACAUUAAGACUAUUAAAAAUAGACAUAUAGGUUGAUCGUACUACUCGUACUAAUGUAUUUCUUUUGUUCAAUUAUAUUAUUGCAUUAAAGUUAGAUU